AAGUCUCUUUGGCCAUAUAAGGUGACAUGUACAGAUUCUGGGGAUGAGGACAUGGAUAUCUUUAGGGGCUGUACUCAACCUUGCAUGCUGGACCAGGGUGUGCAGUCACCAUUGAUGAAAGCUCAGUUUAUCACUCGCCAUUCCGAAAACACGUAAAGCCAGGGGAGGGCUGGGGGAGAUCCUCCUUCACUGGGGCUUGCAGGGACCAUGCAACCAUCUUGGGUGGAAAUAGGUCUUUCAAGGCUGUUGCUGCUACUCUUGCAAAACACACACACGCAUGCACACAUGCAUGCACACUCACACAUGCACACACACACACAUGCACACAUGCUCAUACACACACUCAUGGACACACACACUCACAUGCACACUCACACUCACACACACGUGCCACACCCACACUCAAAUGCAAAUGCACUAACACACACUCACAUGCACACUCCACAUGCUCACACACUCAAAUGCACUCACAUUCACAUGCACAUACACUCACACACACACUCAUGCACACACACUUUCACACACAUUCAUGCACUCACACUCACACACAUUCACAUGCACACUCACACACUCACAUGGACACACACCCUCUCACACACACUUACAUGCACACACACAUGCACACUUUCUUAUCUCUAGUAAGUCUGUCUCGCUGGUUACAUUUCAUGCCAGUUUAUUUUCUCCAGUAAAAACCCUAGGCUCUGUCACUAGGGCUGGUCUGAUUCGAAGGCCUUCACCAACCUCAGUGCCAUGUAGAAGGGAGAGCACUGGGAAUGACAGCAGGCACUGGAUUGUAGCCCUGUUUCUGCCAUUCAUAGUUUAACCUUGGCUAAGCCACUUCAUUUCUCCAGGCUCAGAUUCAAUGCCCCAGUAUGAGUUGGUCUAGAGCUGGAUUUCCCCAGAAUGUGGGGUAUAGCAUAACAGCUGCUCCUUGGAAAGAAAGGGUAUCUUGACCAAAUACACUGGGACACUGUUUCAGCGUGUAUAUACCUCCAUCCCUCUUGGAGAGUCAUAAUGCACAUAAACUUGACAAAGGCUCUGAGAAGUCCUACGUAAAUGCAGUUGGGUAACUCUUUAACCUAGUAUUUUGUAAACGUUUAAAAAUCACAGAACACCCUCACUUGUUUUUUUCUUUUUAAAUACUGAAGAGCAGACUUUGAGAAAUGCUCAUCAUGGUGGUCUCUAAGGAAAUCAGGAUUCCUGCCCCAUUACCUUGAGGGUGACUUUUGAAAUUGACAUGUUUUGCCAACAAGCUGACUCCUGAGAAAGGCAGAAAAUGUCCUAUGUUGCCUUACCUGGCCUCUUGGAGGCCUUGUUCAUCAUCAUUAAUCUUAAGGUGCCAGGCUUGCCAGCUGGAAUCCAUGAGCCAGCCCUGAUAGUGAGACGCCCACAUUAUAGAGGCCCUUCUCCCUGCCAUCCUCCCGUAAAAACUCAUUUUCAUUCCCCAAGGAUUUCUUCAUUGUCUUCUAGGAGCUUAGGCCUGGGGAUGGGGACAACAGAAAGACCUUGAGAAACUUAAUGUUUCUGUUGAGGAAAUGACCAUCUCCCCGCAAGCCAGGGAAAGGAAAAGGAACAAGCAGGCACUGAGCCUUGGCCAGGAGAGGGCUGUGCUCCCUUCAUUUUAGUUGAGCCUUGUGAACAUCUUCUAAGGUAAAGGUUACUCUUCCCUUUAGAAGACAAAAGCCCAAGGCAGAGAGAAGUUAAGUCACUUGUCCAAGGCCACUUGCUUAACUUGUGGCAGAAUCAGGAUUCAGCAUUACUCAGGUGAGGUAUAAGAAGGCAUGGCACAUACAGGUAGAGAGGGCCAGACCCAGGGGAAGAAGGAAGGUGCACACCAGGCUGGAGGAAUCUGGGGUUGUGGGGAGAGCCAUGGCUGGGAGACAAGAUAACAUCCAAGUUCAAGUCCUGGGUCUGUGCUGUUAGCCUUUCUGGUUUUCUCAAGUGAGGAGACUGGAAAUGACUCUCUUCUAGCUGUGACGUUAAUGAAUUCACUUCUAGUUAGGGGGUGAGACUUGAGCAGGUCUGGGAAAGAGAUUAGAAGGCAGAGGCAAGCAGUGACAAAAACCAGAACAUGAAGAAAAGCUUGUGUGCACCCAGAAAAAUAUUCAUUCAGUGCUAUCUGGCAGACACCAUGCUUGGACCUGUGGGUAUCACAGUGAACAAAACAGAUCCAAGCCCUGAUCUUCAUGAAGGUUACACACUUGAGGGGAGACACACGAAAAAAUGAAAAUUUUAGAAGGUGAUGAGUGUCAAGGAAAAAAAUAAUGCAAAGGAAAAGGAACCAGGAGUGGGGUUCUAUCCUAGAUAGGAUGGUCAGGGAAGGCCUCCAGUGAAGGUGAUAUGUGAGCAGAAACUUGAAGAUGACUGAGAAGUGGAUGGGGUAGAUUCUGGAGUAUUCUGAGCAGAGGAGUAGCCUGUGUGUAGGUACUGAGGUGCGUAGACGCUGUGGCUGCCAUCUUCAGGGAGGGACAAGGAGGAGAGUGAAGAAAUGAGGCUAGGAAUGUUGACCUCUUUCAGGUGAGGGAGGAGGAGAGUGAAGAGAUGAGGCUGGGGAUGUUGAGCUCUUUCAGUGUGCAAAAACUUGGGGAGAAAAUUCAGUGGUACAGGCAUUCUAUUUGUUGGAUAAAAAUAUUAGAAAUUUUAAAAUAAAAUGUUUUGUGGCUUAGUCCAAAAUUCUAGAGGACAUGAGCCUUUGUCCUUGGUUAGACUCUGUGUCCAAGAAACAAAUAGCAUCCCAAGAAUCGACUCUCCCUCUCUCUGGGGACCUAGGUACCACAUCUCUGUUCUGUUCUCUCAAGGAUAUCCAAGGCUCUGCUUAUGACUGAAGCAUGCACAGACAAUGGUUAGUAACAUUUGUCACAUUUUUACGUUGCUUUAUAUGACUUUUGUCAACAUGAAAGUGGAAACCAGACUCUCUACCAUCGCAUGAGUUGGAUUGUAAAAGUCAUGGGUUUCUUGUUCUUUAGAAUGGCUUUUCCUAGCAGUGGACUCCUCUGACUUUACAACCAAUGGUGUGCUCCUGAUUCAAUCACUUAAAUCACUCUGGGUGUUGGUUUAUUGGUCUGUCCGGUGGGUGGGUGUAGACUAGAUGAUUAGUAAACUUCCUUUAUUAAAUAGAUCUGAAAACCCCUGUUCUACCCUCUCUAGCAAACAACAUUCCUUCAUCCAGUGUCUGUCUUCUCAGAGGUCAAACUAGUAAUUAUCCAUCCCUUUUGCCUGUGUGUACGACAUGCAUAAUUCAUAGGUAGCCUUGCAAAAUGGAAACGGAAUGUCCAUUCCCCAGUUCCCACAUGACUAGUGCUCAUGCACCAGAAAGUUUACCAGGGACAAAUUCUGUUUUUCUUCCACCUCCAGCCCCUCUCAUUUCUACCAGCCUCCAAGGCGUCUAUAUAAUAAUCAAUUGCAAGACUAUUUAUCACCUGUUUAUACAAUGUUAGCUCUUGUAGUUCCAUAGCCUCAUGUGACAGCUAAGGAAACUGAGGCUCAGAGAGGUCGCUGACUUUCCCAAAGCCACACAGACAUGCCAUGGGGCGGGAACGAAACUGCAGUUUCUGAACACGAGCUGAGAUUCCUUCCCCAACCUCUUGUUGCCUCUAUUUUGCCAAGUGCUAACUGUGCCCUGCAAAUUAUAAGAUGUCUAAAAAUACGUUUUGAGGAUGAUGAUGGAGAACUCGGAAAAGAAGUUUUUUUGUUUUGUUUUUAAAUACGCCCUCAUAGAUCCAAUGCAGUUGAAACAGCGAUCAAAGCCAAUUUCCCUAGAAACACCAGAUCGAAAACACGUGGUGAGGCUCUGAUCUGUAGUGCUUCAUCCUAAACAAUACAUUUUACAAUCCCUGAAAAAUAAAGAAAAAGGAAGGACUC